rnacentral:ribozyme from 17 species
GAUAGAAAGAAAACCGAAAAGUCAAAGUAUUCAAAUAGUCGUUUCCUUUUCUUCAGCAUAAUUAUAUUCAAAUCAAUCCUGCAAUCAUGAAAGCAACGUUGGUCAAUACUCUGAUAUUCAUUCUUUC